ensembl:misc_RNA Y_RNA Y RNA
GGUUGGUCCUAGUGCAGUGGUGUUUACAACUAACGGAUCACUACCACUUACAGAUUCCUUUGUUCCUUCUUCACUCCUGUUACUUCACUUAACUAGCCUUAA